rnacentral:misc_RNA from 1 species
GAUGCAUUGUUGAUGAUGACAUUCGUCCCAAUGGGAUGUGGUGUCAUGUCCSUUGUUUAUCCUAGUUUWGGCUUAUUGAGCUUAAAAUGCUAGGAUUAUCAGYUAGUGACACGACAUCGCUCCAUUGGUUGAUGAAUGUCGUCCAAUGCGGUGGUGGUUGUUAUGUUUUGUUCUCGCAUCGUUCGGUGCAUUCUGGGGUCAUUUUKGCUGUUAGCGGCUUGCUUGGCAUUURAGCUUAGUGGGCGGCUAUAGGUUAUGUGUCUUCGGGGAUGUAUUACUGUAAAGGUGCAUGAGUGGUGUUUGGUGUGUUACGGGUGGUUGGCUCUUUGCUUGCGCAACAACUUCCUCCCGGCAUACCUCUUCAGUCUUGAGUCAAUGCUUGUAUGGCAUUGAGUGCRUGAUGGGUUUCUUGUGUUGCAUACCUAAUAGAUGGUAUCGUUUGAUGAAUUGGUUUCCCUUUUCGUCUUGCGYCGCUCAUGCGGUGUGAGAUGAACCUUGAGGCAGCCCUUGUGAUCCRCUAUUUUGAUGCAUAUGCAUUGAUUUUGUGGCUCAUUGAGUGUUUGCUUGGUGUCAUGGAUAUGGAACCUGGUGUGGGCAUGGAAUCUUAAUGGUUCCUUGUUUGCUCAAAUUUAGCUUUUCUAAAACGAUKGUCUAUCG